rnacentral:rRNA from 1 species
CGCGUAGGCGGCCUUCUAAGUCGGACGUGAAAGCCCCAGGCUUAACCUGGGAACUGCGUCCGAUACUGGGAGGCUUGGAUUCGGGAGAGGGAUGUGGAAUUCCAGGUGUAGCGGUGAAAUGCGUAGAUAUCUGGAGGAACACCGGUGGCGAAGGCGGCAUCCUGGACCGAGAUCGACGCUGAGGCGCGAAAGCUAGGGGAGCAAACG